rnacentral:snRNA from 1 species
GUGCUUGCUUUGGCGGCACGCAUAAAAAAAUUGGAAGGAUAAAGAUUUAGCCUGGCCCCUGUGCAAAGGUUUCACCCAAAUUCAUGAUGAUCUCAUAUUUAUC